CAAUUAGCGUUGACGGAAAUAAGUAGUGUAGAUUUCGUUGUUUCAGAAAGUCGAUGGGUGCUGCAAAUCGAUACAAGUAUCUAGAUGAAUUACCUUCCUGAGCUUCUUUUAUGAAAACCAAAUUUGGUUAUUAGUAUAAGACGGUAAAACCGAUAGCUUGUUUAAGCGGAAGGCCUUGGUCUUCAACUUGGGUGGUAACGCGUGAUAAGACACGUCCCUUGA
rnacentral:ncRNA from 1 species